UACGGAUGGGGCAAGCGUUGUUCGGAAUUACUGGGCGUAAAGGGCGCGUAGGCGGCGUGACAGGUCAGGCGUGAAAGCCCCGGGCUCAACCUGAGAACUGCGCUUGAUACGGUCAUGCUAGAGGUUGGGAGAGGAGAGUGGAAUUCCCAGUGUAGAGGUGAAAUUCGUAGAUAUUGGGAAGAACACCAGUGGCGAAGGCGGCUCUCUGGCCCAUACCUGACGCUGAGGCGCGAAAGCGUGGGGAGCAAACAGG
rnacentral:rRNA from 1 species